rnacentral:lncRNA from 1 species
GUGCGGCUUGCGAGCAACACAUUGCUUAUGAAACUGGAGCUUAAAUGCACUCAUUGCACUUCAGACACAACAAAGCGCCAGCGAUCUCAGAGCUACAGUGGAGACGGACUGUUUCCAGAUCAUCACUGCCUACAUGGCAGAACAUCAGUGGAGCGUCACAAACUCCAGGAAUCACAAAAAGACCAGCGAACAGGACGAGAGACAAUCUACUGAACCAGGAGAGAAACAGACCAAAAGACUAAUUAAAAAGAACAGCUUCUGUAGAGAGAGGCCAAACUAUUGUCAUGAUUCAGACAGACCUGCAGAGAUUCACUCUGAUGACAUUCAAAGAUGAGAAAGCGGCAGCUCCUUUUCAUCAUCACUCAGUUGCUGAAGCUGCAGAUCCUACGAAACACAGACUCCUCAAGAAACACUCAGUUUUGAUAGCAUUUGUUCUGUGUACAUAUUUAAACCCGUUUUAAAUUCAUUUGAUUUGGUAUAUUUUGUCCUCAUGUCCUCUUGCACCAUUUCCGUUUGCACUGUUUGUCCUGAAUGUUUCAUUUGCACAGUCUGUGAUCAGAGAAUGCAUGUUUUUAUGUUUAAUUAGAUUAACUGAUUUUAUAUAGACUAUUUGUGUAUUUAUAUGUAACACCACGGCCCUAUGAGUCACAACAAUGUGUUCCUUUUCAUGUCUCUUUACACUAUUUUCUCUGAAAUCUCAAAAAUCCUGUAUAAUGUCUAAAUAAUGUCUGUACAGUUUGACUGAAGAUCUAAAUUCAGUGAAGAUUUAUGUCAAAAUGAACGAUGGUUGAAAGCACCACAAGAACAUCACAGUCCAAAAACAACGGCUGAAUCUUUUGAGCAUCAAAGCGUGUGAAAAAACGUUCUCCCUGACCGAAUGAAUGCUGAACAGCAGGUCCAGAUACUGCUCAAGGUGGAAACAAACAUGAACUAAUAUGCAAAUAUA